CCUACGGGGGGCUGCAGUCGAGAAGCUUCGGCAAUGGGGGAAACCCUGACCGAGCGACGCCGCGUGCAGGAUGAAGGCCUUCGGGUUGUAAACUGCUUUCGACAGGGAAGAAGGGCGUUUGGGAUAAUACCCCGAUCGUUUGACGGUACCUGGAGAAGAAGCCUCGGCUAAUUCCGUGCCAGCAGCCGCGGUAAUACGGGGGAGGCAAGCGUUAAUCGGAUUUAUUGGGCGUAAAGGGCGCGUAGGCGGUUUCUUAAGUCAGGUGUUAAAGACCACGGCUCACCCGUGGGGCUGCGCCUGAUACUGAGGGACUGGAGUGCAGCAGAGGCAAGCGGAAUUCCCGGUGUAGCGGUGAAAUGCAUAGAUAUCGGGAGGAACACCAGUGGCGAAGGCGGCUUGCUGGGCUGUAACUGACGCUGAGGCGCGAAAGCCAGGGGAGCGAACGGGCUUAGAUACCCUGGUAGUC
rnacentral:rRNA from 1 species